rnacentral:tRNA from 2 species
GGCUCGUUGGUCUAGGGGUAUGAUUCUCGCUUAGGGUGCAAUAGGUCCCGGGUUCAAAUCCCGGAUGAGCCC